GAGCGGCGGACGGGUGAGUAAUGCUUAGGAAUCUGCCCAGUAGAGGGGGAUAGCCCGGGGAAACCCGGAUUAAUACCGCAUACGCCCUACGGGGGAAAGCAGGGGAUCUUCGGACCUUGCGCUAUUGGAUGAGCCUAAGUCGGAUUAGCUAGUUGGUGGGGUAAAGGCCUACCAAGGCGACGAUCCGUAGCUGGUCUGAGAGGAUGAUCAGCCACAUCGGGACUGAGACACGGCCCGAACUCCUACGGGAGGCAGCAGUGGGGAAUAUUGGACAAUGGGGGCAACCCUGAUCCAGCCAUGCCGCGUGUGUGAAGAAGGCUUUCGGGUUGUAAAGCACUUUCAGUGAGGAGGAAGGCUCAAAGGUUAAUACCCUUUGGGAUUGACGUUACUCACAGAAGAAGCACCGGCUAACUCCGUGCCAGCAGCCGCGGUAAUACGGAGGGUGCAAGCGUUAAUCGGAAUUACUGGGCGUAAAGCGCGCGUAGGUGGUUUGAUAAGCGAGAUGUGAAAGCCCCGGGCUUAACCUGGGAACGGCAUUUCGAACUGUUAGGCUAGAGUGUGGUAGAGGGUAGUGGAAUUUCCUGUGUAGCGGUGAAAUGCGUAGAU
rnacentral:rRNA from 1 species